CUGUGGUUGACCAACAAAUCUGUG
rnacentral:siRNA from 1 species